GCCCCCAUAGCUUAGUGGUAAAGCAAUGGCCUUUUAAGCCACUGACGAGAGUUCAAUUCCCUCUGGGGGCA
rnacentral:tRNA from 1 species